rnacentral:rRNA from 1 species
UAGCCUUGACAUACUACAGAAUUUGACAGAGAUGUUGAAGUGCCUUCGGGAGCUGUAAUACAGGUGCUGCACGGCUGUCGUCAGCUCGUGUCGUGAGAUGUUGGGUUAAGUCCCGCAACGAGCGCAACCCUCGUGUCUAGUUACUAACAGUUCGGCUGAGGACUCUAGACAGACUGCCUGGGUAACCAGGAGGAAGGUGAGGACGACGUCAAGUCAUCAUGGCCCUUAUGGCUAGGGCUACACACGUGCUACAAUGGGGUAUACAGAGAGUCGCAAUACCGCGAGGUGGAGCAAAUCUUUAAAAUAUCUCCCAGUUCGGAUAGCAGUCUGCAACUCGACUGCUUGAAGUUGGAAUCGCUAGUAAUCGUGAAUCAGCAAUGUCACGGUGAAUACGUUCCCGGGUCU